UUCUAUUAGAUCUUAUUAAUAGUAUAAUCUGCUCAAUGACAUUAAAUAGCCGCUAUUACUGUGCUAAGGUAGCAUAAUCAUUUGUCUUUUAAUUAAAGACUAGAACAAAAGAUUGAACAUUUUAAUUAAUAUAUUAAAAUUAAUUAAUUUAAUUUAUUUAAAAUGUAAAAAAACAUUUAUAAACUAGGAAGACGAUAAGACCCUAUUAAACUUAACUUAAGUUUAACUGGGGCAGUUAAUCAAUUAAUACUUUAAUUUUAAUAUUAAAAUAAAUAGAUCCUAUAAAAUAGAUUAAAUGAUCAAGUUACUAUAGGGAUAACAGCGUAAUAUUAAUUUAAAGACCUUAUUAAAAUAAAAGAUUACGACCUCGAUGUUGAAUUAAUAACCUAUAUUGUUGCAAUAAACAAUUAAAGGGAGUCUGUUCGACUCUAAAAAAAUUACA
rnacentral:rRNA from 1 species